rnacentral:RNase_P_RNA from 1 species
GGAGUCGGACAGGCCGUCGCCGCGGACGCAUGCGUCCGGGGAGGAAAGUCCGGGCUGCGCAGGGCGGGACGCUGGGUAACGCCCAGAGGGAGCGAUCCCUGGACAGUGCCACAGAAAGCAGACCGCCGGCGGCAAUCCGCCGCCGGUAAGGGUGAAACGGUGGGGUAAGAGCCCACCAGCGACCGCGGUGACGCGGUCGGCUCGGUAAACCCCGUCCGGAGCAAAACCAAAUAGGGGGGCGCUUGAGGCUGGCCCGGCCGAUGCCCCCGGGUAGGUUGCUUGAGGCCGGAAGCAAUUCCGGUCCUAGAGGAAUGACGGCCGCCCCGGUUCUCCGGGGAACAGAACCCGGCUUAUCGUCCGGCUCCCUUU